CAAGAACCAUUUCCAUUGCCUUUGCUGUCUUUGACUGGAGCUGGUCUUCUUUGUUGAUAGUAGCAUGUUUUCUUUUUUUAAUUGGUGGCCCAUCAGGGUUAUCACUUGUGAGGGUGGUAUUGCUUGUAUCAUGAAAUCUAUUCAUUUGUUGGUUAUUUUGUCCUUGUUUUAUAGCAUCGCAUUGAGUUUGAGUGUUCAAGAUUUCUUUGUUGCUGUUUGUAAGGGAAAGACUCAGUCAAUGAAGCAUGGAAAUCUCUGCAACAACGACAAUCUCUCAGUGUAUGGAACUUUUUUCGUGCUUCUGAGGUUUUACUCCAUUUAAAAGACGAGAAUUCUUUCAAAUAGCUCUCUCUGGCUGAAGGGUUUCUCCAAUGUGAUAUUUUUUCAUCUAAAAUUGUGUAGACUUUACUAAAUAAUUCUGUCGAUAGAGAGGGAGACACGGACAUUGAAUAUUAGUGACUAUAACUCGUCAAUGAUGUGAUCGACUAUUUAUCUUACCUUUCUUGAUGUUGAAACCUUCAUAGUCUUUGAAAUGCUCAUUGAAUAAAGACAGUCUUUCGCUCAAAA